CACCCCUCGAGCCCCGCUCGGUGUUGGGGCGGGCCCGUGGGGACCCCCGACCAAACUCGUAGGCGCCGUCGUCCGGCCCCUAGCGCAGCAGGCUAACGCGCGCGCGAGGGGCCGGCAUGGCGGCCGCCCGCCGGCUUUUCACACAA
rnacentral:misc_RNA from 1 species